ACGACUCUCGACAACGGAUAUCUCGGCUCUCGCAUCGAUGAAGAACGUAGCGAAAUGCGAUACUUGGUGUGAAUUGCAGAAUCCCGUGAACCAUCGAGUCUUUGAAUGCAAGUUGCGCCCGAAGCCACUAGGCCGAGGGCACGCCUGCCUGGGUGUCACGCAUCACUAACCCCCUCCCCGUGCUCAAAUGCGCGGCGGGGGUGGAAAGUGGUCCCCCGUGUGCGGUGCCGCGCGGUCGGCCCAAAUGUAAUCCCCGGCGACGCACGUCACGAUAAGUGGUGGUUGAACCCUCAACGCUCUUUUUCGUGCACCACUGUGUCGGGACGCACGAUCAAAUGGCACGUGCGAGCACGUCGCCUUCGACCGCGACCCCAGGUCAGACAGGAUCACCUGCUGAGUUUAAGCAUAUCAAUAAGCGGAGAAAAAGAAACUUACAAGGAUUUCCCUAGUAACGGCGAGCGAAUCGGGAAUAGCCCAACUUGAGAAUCGGACGGCCACACCGUUCGAAUUGUAGUCUGGAGAAGCGUCCUCAGCGGCGGACUGCGGUCGAGUCCCCUGGAAUGUGGCGCCAUAGAGGGUGAGAGCCCCAUUGCUCCUGGACCUUGUCGCACCACGAGGCGCUGUCAGCGAGUUGGGUUGUUUGGGAAUGCAGCCCCAAUCAGGCAGUAAAUCUGUCCAAGGCUAAAUACGCGCGAGAGAUCGAUAGCGAACAAGUACCGCGAGGGAAAGAUUAAAAGGACUUUGAAAAGAGAGUCAAAGAGUGCUUGAAAUUAUCGGGAGGGAAGCGGAUGAGGACCGGCGAUAUGUCCCGGUAGGAUGUGGAAUGGCUAGAGCCGGUCCGCCGAUCGACUCGAGACGCAGACUAGCACGGAUCAAUGCGGCGCUCAAAGCUCGGGUGGUUGAUAUGCUCAUUGUACGGCAUCGCAUUGAUCCAGGAGGACAACGCGCGCCUCGUGCGUGCCUCGGUUACUGCGCGUUCUUGGUGCUGGCCUGUGGGCUCCCCAUUCGACCCGUCUUGAAACACGGACCAAGGAGUCUGACAUGUGCGCGAGUCAACGAGCGAUUAAACCCGUAAGGCGCAAGGUAGCUGACCGACGUGAUCCCCCCGAGGGGUGCACCGCCGACCGACCUUAAUCUUCUGAGAAGGGUUCGAGUGAGCUUACCUGUCGGGACUCGAAAGAUGGUGAACUAUGCCUGAGCGGGGCAAAGCCAGAGGAAAAUCUGGUGGAGGCCCGCAGCGAUACUGACGUGCAAAUCAUUCGUCUGACUUGGGUAUAGGGGCGAAAGACUAAUCGAACCGUCUAGUAGCUGGUUCCCUCCGAAGUUUCCUUCAGGAUAGCUGGAGCUCUAGUGCGAGUUCUAUCGUGUAAAGCCAAUAGGUAAGACGGCGCGGCUGCUCCGUUGAGCCGUGCCAGAGAAUCAUGAGCUCCAAGUGGGCCAUUUUUGUAAGCAGAACUGGCGAUGCGGAAUGAACCGGAAGCCAGGUUACGGUGCCCAACUGCGCGCUAACCUAGAUCCCACAAAGGGUGUUGGUCGAUUAAGACAGCAGGACGGUGGUCAUGGAAGUCGAAAUCCGAUAAGGAGUGUGUAACAACUCACCUGCCGAAUCAACUAGCCCCGAAAAUGGAUGGCCCUGAAGCGCUCGACCUAUACCCGGCCGUCGGGGCAAAGGCCAUGCCCCGAUGCGUAGGAGGGCACGACGGUCGCUGUAAAACCCUGGGCGCGAGCCCGGGUGGAGCGGCCGUCGGUGCGGAUCUUGGUGGUAGUAGCAAAUAUUCAAAUGAGAACUUUGAAGGUUAAGAAGGAAAAGGUUCCAUGUGAACGGCACUUUCACAUGGAUUAGUCGAUCCUAAGGGUCGGGGGAAGCCCGACAGACAGCGCAUUCAACGCGUGCUCCGAAAGGGAAUCGGGUUAAAAUUCCUGAACCGGGAUGCGGCGGUUGACGGCAACGUUAGGGAGUCUGAAGACGUCGGCGGGGGCCUCGGGAAGAGUUAUCUUUUCUGUUUAACAUCCCGCCCACCCUUGAAAAGGCUCAGCCGAAGGUAGGGUCCAGUGGCUGGAAGAGCACCACACGUCGCGUGGUGUCCAGUGCGCCCCCGGCGGCCCUUGAAAAUCCUGAGGACCGAGUACUGUCCGCGCUCGGUCGUACUCAUAACCGCAUCAGGUCUCCAAGGUGAACAGCCUCUGGUCGAUGGAACAAUGUAGGCAAGGAAAGUCUGCAAAAUGGAUCUGUAACCUCGGGAAAAGGAUUGACUCUGAGGGCUGGUCACAGGGUCCCAGUCCCGAACCCGUCCGCUGUCGGCGAACUGCUCGAGCUGCUUGCACAGAGCGACGUUGCUUUUUGAUCCUUCGAUGUCGGCUCUUCCUAUCAUUGUAAAGCAGAAUUCACCAAGUGUUGGAUUGUUCACCAACCAAUAGGGAACGUGAGCUGGGUUUAGAUCGUCGUGAGACAAGUUAGUUUUACCCUACUGAUGAUGGUGUCGCAAUAGUAAUUCAACCUAGUACGAGAGGAACCGUCGAUUCGCACAAUUGGUCAUCGCGCUUGGUUGAAAAGCUAGUGGCGCGAAGCUACCGUGCGCUGGAUUAUGACUGAACGCCUCUAAGUCAGAGUCCAAGCUAGACGCGACGCAUGCGCCCGCCGUUCGCUCCCCGACCUGCAGUAGGGGCCCCCGGGCACCCAAGGGCAUGUGUCGUUGGCCAAGCCCCCGCGGCGGAUGAGCCGCAUGGGCCGCCUCGAAGUAUAAUUCCAAUCGAGUGGCGUGUAGAAUCCUUUGCAGACGACUUAAAUACACGACCGGGUAUUGCAAGUGGCAGAAUGGCCUUGCUGCCACGAUCUGCUGAGUUUCAGCGCUUCGUCGCUUCGAUUCAUCCCCCUCCCGAUCCCCCUACAUAAAACCCCAUUCCCACCGUGAGGUUCAGUAGCUUUUGGAUAGGAAACAUGCAAGUCCCAGAAAAAUUCCAGGUCAUGACAAAACGAGCAUAAAAAAGAAAGAAAUCUGCAUCUAAACGAGUGAAAUGUUGAUCGUAACGAGAAAAGGAGCAUCAAAAUGAAGUAAAUAUGCAUCGAAAUGAAGGAAAUGCUUAUCGUAAUGAUAAAAGGAGCAUCAAAAUGAAGGAAAUAUGCAUUGAAACAAAGGAAAUGUUGACCGUAACGAGAAAAUGAGCAUCAAAAUGAAGUAAAUAUGCAUCGAAACGAAGGAAAUGUGUAUCGUAACGAGAAAAGGAGCAUCAAAAUGAAGGAAAUAUGCAUCAAAACGAAGGUAAUGUUGAUCGUAAAGAGA
rnacentral:rRNA from 1 species